AUACUUACCUGGAUGGGGUUAAUGGACAAUCAACAAGGUCCAUGGCCUAGGUUAGUGACCUCCAUUGCACUUAGGAGGGGUGCUCACCUAAGGUCUAUACAAGCGGUGGAGCCUACGACAUAAUUUGUGGUAGCAGGGGUUUGCGUUCGCGCGAUCCCUUU